GGGGGGGGGGGGGGGGGGGGGGGGGGGGGGGGGGGGGGGCGGAGGGGGCCGGCGGGGGGGGGGUGCGCGAGUGGCGGACGGGUGAGUGACACGUGAGUAACCGGCCCUUGACUUUGGGAGAGCUUCAGGAGACUGGGGCUAAUACCGGAUAGGAGCUCCUGCUGCAUGGUGGGGGUUGGAAAGUUUCGGCGGUUGGGGAUGGACUCGCGGCUUAUCAGCUUGUUGGUGGGGUAGUGGCUUACCAAGGCUUUGACGGGUAGCCGGCCUGAGAGGGUGACCGGCCACAUUGGGACUGAGAUACGGCCCAGACUCCUACGGGAGGCAGCAGUGGGGAAUAUUGCACAAUGGGCGGAAGCCUGAUGCAGCAACGCCGCGUGCGGGAUGACGGCCUUCGGGUUGUAAACCGCUUUCGCCUGUGACGAAGCGUGAGUGACGGUAAUGGGUAAAGAAGCACCGGCUAACUACGUG
rnacentral:rRNA from 1 species